AGGAAGACCUGAAUGGGUCGAAACGUCGAUCAACUCUUCGGUCUUUAAAUUUUCCAAAAUUAUUUAUUUCAUUAUUUAAAAUGUGGCAAGUUGAUCGACGUUUCGACCCAUUCGGGUCUUC